UAACUAGAAUGGCAAUCACAGUAUUACAACGCGGAUACAUUUUUUUAUAGGUAAACACAGAUACAUCAUACAACAGAAAUACAAUGGCAGUCACAAUAAUACAUAUACAUGUAUUACAAGCUCUACUGCUCCUGUCCAUGGACCUCCUUUCAAUCUGCUUUUGCAUGGAGCUUCUUUUGCAUAGAGCUCCUAUCAGAGGAAAUCCACAUUGUUAGUACUACUAACAAUAAAAACAAUUAAGAACAAAAUACAGAACAAGUAUACAAGCAAGCAGUUGGGUACAUAUCACUUUGGAAAGCACAAAAUACCAUUUUGCUGGACAUGAAAAUCAUAGUACUAACCACAUCAACAGUCUUUUAUUGCAGGGUCAACAAUGAAAUAGAAGCAUAAUUAAUAGCUCUAAAUCUAUAAGAAUCAUAAUUAAUAACUAAUAAAAGGUACAUGUAAUUGACAGGAAGCGCAUAACUCGACACUCGUUAUUAACAUGUAAACUGUUUAGAGCAUUUAAGUUGGCACAUGACAAAAUAAACAUUCGGUGAACAUUGAAUAUCCAGGAGUGAAUGAUUUAGCAUGUAGUGAACAUGGAAGACUUCACAAACACAAAAACUCAAGCUGCUAGUGUACACGGGGUGCUUGAGCUCCUGCUGCUUAGUACAUAUACAUGGUAGAAUCCUGCUACUAGUGUUCUAAACCAACAGAGCAUGUUAUAGGAGUAGAAAAGAGGGAGCUAGGGGUAGGAGAUGGAGCCAACUCACCGGAGAACUUCUGGUCGCCACCGUACACAGCCGCCAUAAC
rnacentral:lncRNA from 1 species